UGAUAUGAACCGUUAUAACCGGCGAUUUCCGAAUGGGGAAACCCAGUGUGACUCGUCACACUAUCAUUAACUGAAUCCAUAGGUUAAUGAGGCGAACCGGGGGAACUGAAACAUCUAAGUACCCCGAGGAAAAGAAAUCAACCGAGAUUCCCCCAGUAGCGGCGAGCGAACGGGGAGGAGCCCAGAGCCUGAAUCAGCAUGUGUGUUAGUGGAAGCGUCUGGAAAGGCGCGCGAUACAGGGUGACAGCCCCGUACACAAAAGCGCAUGUGCUGUGAGCUCGAUGAGUAGGGCGGGACACGUGGUAUCCUGUCUGAAUAUGGGGGGACCAUCCUCCAAGGCUAAAUACUCCUGACUGACCGAUAGUGAACCAGUACCGUGAGGGAAAGGCGAAAAGAACCCCGGCGAGGGGAGUGAAAAAGAACCUGAAACCGUGUACGUACAAGCAGUGGGAGCCUCUUUUAUGGGGUGACUGCGUACCUUUUGUAUAAUGGGUCAGCGACUUAUAUUCUGUAGCAAGGUUAACCGUAUAGGGGAGCCG
rnacentral:rRNA from 1 species